UUUUUCCUUUUCCUUAUAUCUUCUCUCUUUCCUUCCAGUGCAUGAACUGAAUCCCUAUCUCCCGGUAUUCGAUCUUCGGGUCAUACCUUGUGUGGGGACCCCGACUCAUAAGUCGUGAUCACCGAAUGCACGUGUACAGUGAUCCCAGAGAUCAAUGCUCACUGAACACACAUAAGCUGAAUAAUAAGAGUCUUACAUCCAUAUGUAUCGUCUUACACAAUUUUAUGACCAUUAUGGUCAAGUCUUACAUAGAUUAAGCCUCAAGGGCUGAAUACCAAAUAAACUUAAGCAGUGGAAAUCUUCGUUGAUAAGUAGAACCCAUGCCAUCUGCCUUAACCCUAUAGGCAUUCUGACUGGGAAAGCGUCCUAGUUCGCAUGUUCGUCUCCAAAGAAUUCCUCUUCGAACUCCUGUUCUUCCAUGCCUGGCCAAUUAAAUAACCAGUGGCAAGCCAAUGAGUACUUUGAAUGUACUCGCAAGCAACCCAUGCUUUGUCUUAAGAUACAACAAUGCAUGACAUAGGUAAUUUUUUGCAGAAAGCUAAUUUUAUUGUGCUAUGACAUGUUCAACAACUGGUAAAACAUGCAUCAUAUGAAUUCAAGUAACCAUAGGGACUGGUUACAGAUAUCAACAUAAAUGGAAUGGGCUUCAACCCAACUCAAUCAUGUCAAGUCCUUUGACUUGACCCAAGUGGUUCUUCCCACUUAUCCAAACACACACACUGGUUUGUAAACAAGUGGACGUAGCCCAAGAGCGGUUACCCAACUGUCCUUGAUCGUGAACACGGCUAUUCGAAUAGUUUUACACUCUGCAGAGGUUGCACACUUUACCCACAAGAUCCGGGAAGCCUUCGUGUCAUCCACGACCCGCGGUACCUCAAGUAUCCGGGGUAAGCACCCGAUCACUACCUUUCCCUAGCCGCGACUACCAAGGAGUCCACUCGAUUGGUAGCAGCCCCCGUGCCAAACAUUGUCACACAAUAAAUUCUUUUUGUGGAGCCACGCUCCCAUAUUCAUCACAUAUCACAAGCACGGGUUACCAACGGUGUGUCUGGUACCCUAUGAAAACAAUCAUGGCCGCCCUACCUGGAACGACCCCGUCCCGAGAGUGACCACGCCACUCCCGUCACUAGUAAUGCGGGCAUCCAUGUUAGCACGAACUAGGUAAUCAAUAAUGCCCUUUCCCAUAUAAGGGUAGAGUGGUUGCGCAUGUAAGCUUGGAGUAACGGUCACAACUUAAACCAAUCCGUUUUCGAAAACAACACACUCACUUGCCUCGGUACACCACUUCUUUAUCAAGUGGUUACCUGGCUCAACAUCUCCCUCGGGCAUUAGUGGCACCCGAUGGGGUUUUCAAAAAGUCCUUGAGAAUACUUUUGUCUCCAUCACCAUGCAUAUACCCUGUCCCACUUGCGUAGUAACUACUUUAGCAUCCUAUCUACUCCCACCGGCAUAACCCUCAUAGGAAGGUAGGGUCAUGCACAAUGCAAGUAUCAACAAGGAAGUAACGAAGGCAACCCACCAAAGUGGUUACCAUCUCAUCAUGAUUCCGAUGCAACACUAAUAAAGUGCUAUAUGACAUGCAUAAAAAGGGUUUCAGAGACAUGGUCAAAGGGCUACUUGCCUGGUUCAUCAGAGUCUUGAAAUCUUCUGGUCCUUCUCCAAGUACUUUGUCUACUUCGCCAACUAAUGCCGGAAACAAACACAAUAAGCAACACAACAAGGCAAAAGUAAAAGUGCUCUAAAAAUAUGAAUUUGACUUUUCUACGACAUCUCUGGUUAUAUGAAAAAUAACCAGAGUGGUUUCAUUGGGACUGGAUCAGUGGAUAUUUUUGAGUAUUUCAAUAUGAUAGAAUCAAUGGAUUUAUGGAUUUGCAAGAAGUGUACCGAAAUAUAUUUUUGAAAAAUGAGCAAAGGCCCCCAUUUAACAAAUUAUGAUUUUAGAAGCAUCUAGGAGUUGGUUUCACUGGAUUUGGAGUUCAAAUGAAUUCCUAUGAAUUUGCAAAGUUGACAAAUAUGAAGAAACGGCUCAUUAUAUUGUGUGGCAUAGAAAGUAUUAAUAAAAAUGUUCAUAACCUAAGUUAUGAACUUAGAAGCAUCUAGAAAUUUGAAUCAUGGCAUUUGGAUCAAAUAUGAACUCUUUGUGAUUUUCCAAAGUCCAUCAUAGAAAUAGGGAAAUGGGGUUUUGUGAAAUAUGUGUGAAGGAAACUUUUCUAAAAAAAUGAGCAUGAUGCAUCACGAGGUAGAUCAAGAAUUUAGAAGCUACUAGAAAUUUGAAUUACUAGAUUUGGAGUUCAUAAGAUUUAUUUGUGGAUUUUACAAGUUUACAGAAAAAGAAAAAGAAAAGGGAAAGGGUUUUACCCUUAUCCUGCGCACUGGGCGGGAGAUAGCAAUGGGCCGCCCCAGCGGUUUAGCUGCACGGGUGGCAGGGGCGACGUCGAAGGCGCCCUGGAUGGAGUACGCCUUCGCUGCACGGGAGGCGGGUUUACUCCCGGUCCGUGUCCACUUAAACGGGCAGGGCCCGCCCGCUGGGUCGCUGACAAGCGGGGCCCGGCACUCAGGCUGUCCCCUACCUCCCGCUCGAAUAGAGCAGAGGCAUGGGAGGCAAGUCCGAGUGGUGCCAGCGCUCUCUCCGGCGGCACCGGCCACCUCUGGCGACGCCCAGCCCACCGACGGAUUCAGGAG
rnacentral:lncRNA from 1 species